rnacentral:rRNA from 1 species
GAUGAACGCUGGCGGCGUGCCUAAUACAUGCAAGUCGAGCGAACAGACGAGGAGCUUGCUCCUCUGACGUUAGCGGCGGACGGGUGAGUAACACGUGGAUAACCUACCUAUAAGACUUGGAUAACUUCGGGAAACCGGAGCUAAUACCGGAUAAUAUAUUUAACCGCAUGGUUCAAUAGUGAAAGACGGUUUUGCUGUCACUUAUAGAUGGAUCCGCGCCGCAUUAGCUAGUUGGUAAGGUAACGGCUUACCAAGGCAACGAUGCGUAGCCGACCUGAGAGGGUGAUCGGCCACACUGGAACUGAGACACGGUCCAGACUCCUACGGGAGGCAGCAGUAGGGAAUCUUACGCAAUGGGCGAAAGCUUGACGGAGCAACGCCGCGUGAGUGAUGAAGGUCUUCGGAUCGUAAAACUCUGUUAUUAGGGAAGAACAAAUGUGUAAGUAACUAUGCACGUCUUGACGGUACCUAAUCAGAAAGCCACGGCUAACUACGUG